ACCCAUUUAAAGAUGUCGGAAUUUAUGGGAAGGAUCUUGUCACGGCUUAAAACAGAAAGCUACUGACAGCCCUCAUGUUUUUGCUAUAGCAGACACUGCUUAUAAUGAGAUGAUGAAUGGUUGAGUAAAUCAGUCUCUGAUCAUAAGUGGGGAAUAUGGAGCUGGGAAAACCGAGACAGCAAAAUUUGCUAUGCAGUAGCUGGUUUCUGUUGGAGGUGUCAAUGAUGAGAUAGA